rnacentral:rRNA from 1 species
AUUGAACGCUGGCGGCAGGCCUAACACAUGCAAGUCGAACGAGUGGCGGACGGGUGAGUAAUGUCUGGGAAACUGCCUGAUGGAGGGGGAUAACUACUGGAAACCGUAGCUAAUACCGCAUACCAUCAGAUGUGCCCAGAUGGGAUUAGCUUGUUGGUGGGGUAAAGGCUCACCAAGGCGACGAUCCCUAGCUGGUCUGAGAGGAUGACCAGCCACACUGGAACGGAGACACGGUCCAGACUCCAACGGGAGGCAGCAGUGGGGAAUAUUGGGCAAUGGGCGCAAGCCUGAUGCAGCCAUGCCGCGUGUAUGAAGAAGGCCUUCGGGUUGUAAAGGACUUUCAGCGGGGAGGCGUUACCCGCAGAGGAAGCACCGGCUAACUACGUGCCAGCAGCCGCGGUAAUAC